ensembl:lncRNA
CGGGCGGCAGGAGGGCACAGGGCAGCCGCGGGGACCCCGUGCCCGGCAUCCCGAGGCCGGCAGGGCGGGGACUGCCCCUUUGCCCACCGCUCCUUUGCAUCCUCAGAGCCAAGGCGGGGAGAUGGAACCGAUCUCAGUGCGGGCAGCGGAUCCACGCAGCUUUUCGCAGCGGAGAUAACGAAUAUUUCCAGGCGCUGACCUCCAGGGGGAAGCCCCAGACGGUACAGCUCCUGUGCCAAUUUGGAGAAGCCCCUCUGAGCGCUUGGCCGUGGCCGCAGACCUCGGCUCACUGUUGCAGGGCACUCCCCGGGCACCUGUGCCAGGAUCUGCCCUUCCUCAGCCGCUCCGGGCUGUGACCUACCGGGCGGACACCCGCAGUGUAUUUGGGGACGGGACGAGGGAAGCUACAGGCCGGGGGAAGGGGGAGGGGGGUGCAUCCCAUCUGCAGCCCGCCCGGCCUCCCUCUCUCCAUCCCGGUCUCAUUAACCCGCGGGUGAGGGAACUGUUUGUGUGCCUUCGUUCCCUUCCCAGGGCUGCUUUUUCCCUGUUACUGAUCCAUCGCUCGUAAAUCAUUUAUAGGAACCGGGCGCUUCUCUCCUCGCAGGAGCUUCCCUUGAAAAACUUUCCCAUCUUCAGAUAACCUGUGUUUCACAGAUCACCGUCUGAAAAACACUGGUUUUGGAAAAUAUAAGCCAACGCCUCAUGACUGCCUUCUGUGGAACUGCCUGCACUUAGACUGCUUCAGCAUUGUCCACUUGGGGACUUGUGAUUCAGGUCCAUGUACUAAAUCGGCAGCAGCUGAGGCAGGAGGGGCUGAAGCAGGGGCUGAGGAGAAGUGGCACUCCUCUUGCUCUAAGCAUGUCUUCCUAACUGGAAGCAAGUGGAGACCUGAUCAGAUGAAAGCCACUAAUACUUGAGAUCUGUCACUGAUCAUUCCUGAUGUAAUCAUAGCAAAAUGAUCCAGUGUAACUAAAAAUAAUAAUAAUAAUAAAAAGAGGAUAAGCAGUUUCUGAAGUAUCAGAUCCCAGAGAGGUAGCCCAUUUUAUACAUAGCUUAGCCUUUUGUCUUCUUGUACAAUUACUGAAAUGACUUAGAACGCAGAGUUGUGAUUAUUGUGAUUUUGUGAUUCCUUCUGCAAUUCAUGGAACACAACCACGUUCAGAAGAUGUUGAUUAAUUAAUCUCCACUAUGUUCAUAUUUUUUUAUACAGUACAAGCCAAUUUUAAUUUCUGAAGAAAUGCAAAAGAAUGACAUUUUAAUAAAUUUAAAACUGAAACUUAAUAUAACUAUAGAUCUAAAAUUCCAUGUGUACAUUUUCAGUAAGAAUCAUGUCAUACAGUCUUCCAUAAGUGUAGCCUCAUUGCAGCAUAGGCAUUUUAAUAUUACAGAUGAUGAACCUUAAGUUGCCAUUUAUUUACAUAAAUCUAAGAGCUUAAUAAAAGAAGUGUAAUAGCAAACAUCACUUAAGAUUGCUAAGAGACAACACAUUUACCUAUUAAAUCAUUUGUAAAAUUCAGUCACUUAUCUGAGGAAAUACGUCAAGGUCACCAUAAAAAUAAGCACACUCCAUAAAUCAUAUCACAGUAUAUAAAAUAAUACUUGUCAAUUUUCAGUGCAUUUUUCUCAUACAGAUUUGUACAAAUAGGUACUUUCUUUCACAAUAAAUGCUUGUGGGUUUUUGUUUGUUUGUUUGUUUGUUUGUUUUUGCCAGACUGAAAGUAGGAUGCUUUAAUAAAAUAUGCAAUUUUAUUGCUAGAAAGUUUGUAUAUGUCAUAUGAUAGCAUGUUAACAUGAGUAAGUUUGAGAUAGUCCACCUUUUCCUGACAGAAACAAGAAGUCUGCUUAAGUUGGGUGAUAUGUUGGUUUGAAGAAACAUGCAUCAAACCCAUCAAAACUGAUUUAACGAAGCAAAAGAAUUCUUCUCAGAACCAAAAGUGUCCACAGGAAGAAACAUCCCAGUGCCAGGGCAGAAAUUACUCACUCGGAUGUACAUCUGACUUAUCUCCACCCAAGUAUUUCAGUGCCUGGAGGCUUACUGCAGAUGUCCUUUUUGUGUACACGUCUGUGGAUAUGUUGAACAUUGUGCAGCCAACGCUCUCUUUUGGAUACCGGAAGAAACUAUCCACCAGUAAGGAGGACACAAAGAAUAAUCAAGCUGUGGUAAAUGGCAAAUGCAGAAGUGACAAUCAACCUGCACAAAGAUGAUUGGAG